GAAUCUUUCACAAUGGACGAAAGUCUGAUGGAGCCAGGCCGCGUGCGCGAAGAAGGUUUUUGGAUCGUAAAGCACUGUUGUAAGGGAAGAACACGUAAGGGGGUACCUGCGCGUUCCAUGACGGUACCUUAUUAGAAAGCCACGGCUAACUCCGUGCCGCCCGCCGCGGUAAUACGUAGGUGGCAAGCGUUGUCCGAAAUUAUUGGGCGUAAAGCGCGCGCAGGCGGUUCUUUAAGGCUGAGGUGAAAGCCCACGGCUCAACCGUGGAGGGUCAUUGGAAACUGGAGAACUUGAGUACAGAAGAGGAAAGCGGAAUUCCACGUGUAGCGGUGAAAUGCGUAGAGAUGUGGAGGAACACCAGUGGCGAAGGCGGCUUUCUGGUCUGUAACUGACGCUGAGGCGCGAAAGCGUGGGGAGCAAACA
rnacentral:rRNA from 1 species